rnacentral:rRNA from 1 species
AGCGAACGUUUGCGGCGGGCUUAACACAUGCAAGUCGAACGAGAAUCCCUUCGGGGAGGAAAGUGGCGCACGGGUGCGUAACACGUGGAUAACCAACCCAUUGGUUUGGGACAACACCGGGAAACUGGUGCUAAUACCAGAUGUGUCGCAGCUGUCUUCAGGCGGUUGCGAGAAAGGCCCGCAAGGGUCGCCAACGGACGGGUCCGCGUCCCAUCAGCUAGUUGGUGAGGUAAUGGCUCACCAGGGCAAAGACGGGUAGCUGGUCUGAGAGGAUGAUCAGCCACACUGGAACUGAGACACGGUCCAGACUCCUACGGGAGGCAGCAGUGGGGAAUAUUGCGCAAUGGGCGAAAGCCUGACCCAGCCACGCCGCGUGAGUGAUGAAGGCCCUCGGGUCGUAAAGCUCUGUGGAGAGGGACGAAAACCCUGGUUUCAAAUAGGCUCCAGGCUUGACGGUACCUCUUUAGCAAGCACCGGCUAACUCUGUGCCAGCAGCCGACGG